rnacentral:rRNA from 1 species
CGAUCGGUAGCUGGUCUGAGAGGACGAUCAGCCACACUGGGACUGAGACACGGNCCAGACUCCUACGGGAGGCAGCAGUGGGGAAUCUUGGACAAUGGGGGCAACCCUGAUCCAGCGACGCCGCGUGGGUGGUAAGGCCUUCGGGUUGUACAGCCCUUUCAGCGGGGAAGAUGAUGACAUUACCCGCAGAAAGAAGCGCCGGGCUAACUCCGUUGCCAGCAGGCCGCGGUAAGACACGGAGAGGCAGCUAGCGUUGUUCGCGAAUCACUGGUGCGUAAAGUGGCGCGUAGUGCGGCCCAUUUAAGUCGCGAGGUGAAACGCCCGGGUGCUCAAACCUCGGAAACGGGCCUUCGAAGACUGGAUGGCUAGAGACCGGAAGAGGAGGGUGGAAUACCCAGUGUAAGAGGUGAACUUCGUAGAUAUAGGGUAGAACACCAGUGGCGAAAGCGGCUCUCUGGUCCGGUUCUGACGCUAAGGCGCCAACACGUGGGGAGCAACCAGGAUUAGAUACCCUGGUAGUCCACGCCCUUACGUUGUGUGCUGAUGUCGGGGCACAGCCCCUCGUGUUGGAGCUAACGUGUAAGCACACCGCCUGGGGAGUACGGCCGCAAGGUUAAAACUCAAAGUAAUUGACGGGGUCCCGCACAAACGGUGGAGCAUGUGGUUUAAUUCGAAGCAACGCGCAGAACCUUACCAGCUCUUGACAUGGCGGUUUUAGCCACGGGAGGCCGUGGUGUCGGUUCGUCCGGCUUGUCACAGGUUCUGCAUGGCUGUCGUCAGCUCGUGUCGUGAGAUGUUGGGUUAAGUCCCGCAACGAGCGCAACCCUUGCCUUCAGUUGCCAGCGGGUUAGG